rnacentral:rRNA from 1 species
CCCUUAGAUGUUCUGGGCCGCACGCGCGCUACACUGACCGGUGCAACAAGCAUCCGUCCUUGGCCGACAGGCCCGGGCAAUCUUUGAACGCCGGUCGUGAUGGGGAUAGACUUUUGCAAUUUUUGGUCUUCAACGAGGAAUUCCUAGUAAACGCAAGUCAUCAACUUGCAUUGAUUACGUCCCUGCCCUUUGUACACACCGCCCGUCGCACCUACCGAUUGAAUGGUCCGGUGAAGCCUCCGGAUUGGCGCGCACCUCGGUGCCGCCGAGAAGUUGGCUAAACCUUACCAUUUAGAGGAAGGUGAAGUCGUAACA